GAGCCCAUGCAUAAACCAUUUGGUUUUGCAAUUAAAAACAGGUUUGGCUUCCCUCUGCAUCAGUAAGACAACGUCAAAGCAACAUUCGUCCUGAAAAUUUUCCCUUGUGAAUUCAAAUGAACUGACUACUUGAUGAAAAUGCUAUUGCUGAAAACACCAUGCACAUUGGAGACAGGACACAGAGACAUCAAGCUGGAGCUGAACUGGAAGGUAUCCAUACUGACUAGCUUUCAAAAGGGGAAACUAGAACAACGGAUCAACUUUGGUCUCUCAAAGUCUCUUCCAAAGGAUCUGCAGAGAUCCCUUUCUGCUGUACCAACACCAUGGGUAAGAGAUCUGACCUAUCUAAGGAUCAAGGUCAGGGUUUCCUGGCUCUCCCUCCUCAUCAUGGCCGUUCAUUACCGCCUAGCCUCUAAGGUUCUGCACUUUCAUACACCCUGCCCUUUGGCUUGGCCCUUCAAUCAACAAGUCCUGCAUACCUGAUUGAUCUAGACCUGAAUAUCAUAUCAUAAAAGAUCUCCUGGGCAUUUACUGCUUUCCUUGGAACUUCUAAUUCCAUUCCAAGAUGUUUGUGUCCUUUGGGGUGUUGAUGUUUGCUUUUUCUUUGACACAGUGUCUCUCUAAGCAGCCCAGGUGAGCCUUGCGCUUGUAAUCAUUCUGAUGUUUUCCCUCACAUGCUUGGAUUACAGGCAUGUCCGACUCUAUGAAGCUUGUCUAUGUGAUUUUAUGUUCAUGUUGGUGUACAUGCACAUAUGUUCCUCUGGGUGAUGUUGCAUCUGUAUGUGCAUGUAUAUGGAGGCCAGAAGACAAUCUCAGGUAUCAGUCCUUAGGAUCGAUCCACCAUUAGUUGAUUGACUAUUCUGAAAGAGUGUCCUUGACAGGCCUGAGGCUAGUAGGUUAGGCUGGCGGGCCAGCAAAGCCCACGUAUCUGCCUGACUAGGAUGGGAAUUACAAGUGUGCGCCACUUUCUUUUUCUUUUUCUUUUUUAGCAUGGGUUGAGCAGAUCAAACUCAGCUCCUCAUGGUUGCAAGGCAAACACUUUACUAGUUGAGCAGUCUCCCCAGGGUCUAAUUCAUCUGAUUUAAAGGAAUAAAAUAAGUGGGAUUUUGUGUGUCUCCAUAGGUGCUAUUAGGAAGUACCUUAUAGUAAAACUAUCAAAGUAGAAUUCAAAGAACACUACAGAGAACAGUGAGUUUCUACUAUUAAAAGUUUUAAAGAACUUCACAACCAUUUUAUACCUAUAUAGAGCACUAAUCAUAAUAUAUGCAUUCAUAAACCAGGCUUUGGCUGCUAAGCACCUGUCACCUAAAACAUUAUAGAUGCUCAACAAAUAUUCAUAAAAUGCUAAGAGCAUUCAUAAGCAUAUCAAUAUAUGUUAAUCAGUUCUCACUUAAUAAAAAUGACUUAUAAUCAGAUUGCCUCAAUGGGAGAAAAAAAUAAUCUGUUGCAGCAGAGGAACAAGUAUCUGUCCAAAGAAACCCCACAGUGUCUGUCUUUAAAUACCAAAGUAGCAUUACUGCAGGUAUAUACCAUGGUACUAGAAAUUAGCAUUUUUUAAAAAAUAUACAAACUAGCCAAGAACGAUAGACCAAUAGGGAAAAGUGCUUUUCAGAAAGCCUGAUAAUCUGACUUUGACUCACAGAGCCCACUGUAAAAGAAGAAAAUUAAGUCUGUAAAGUUGCACAUAUGCUGUAGCAUAUGCACACAUAUAUUUAUAUAUCAUGUGCAUACAUACAUAGUAACAAUAAAUACAAUAUUUUAAUUUAAAAAUAUAUACAGCAUGUUGUCAAUUUAGCCAAGUAUAUUGAAAGUAUCUUGAAAUAAAAGCCAGUUACAAUUUUUAAUUUGUUUAAAUAUGUACAUUGGUCUCAGACAGUGGCACAUAGCAAGAAGGUAUUUAAUGAAAGUGUAUUCCAUCAGAUUAAUUCACAUGAAUCAAAACUCAGUUUUCAUGCCCUAAGUGUAGCAAACAGGUUUCUCAACUGUUGGGGAAACAUCAGAUUCUCCUUUCUGUUUUAUCUACUUUACUUCCUCUGCCAAGUUUCAUAAGACUUGAGAAAAUGAAAUAAAAGAAUCUCAGAUCUAUACCUUCCUCUGUGCUCUGGAAACAGCCUGCUUUCUACUAAAAGGGUAUCCUGUGUACCUAUAGAAGCAGUCACAUGCACAGCAAACUGCCCUCUGACUUCUCAUUGAGUCCAGCUCUACCAUCCUCAGGGGUACACUUAGCUACAAUCAAAAUGAGGAAAUUCUGUGGAGGUGGCUUCCAUUUGGGACCUGGUUGAUGGUAUCAUGUACAGAGAUCUCAUACAUGUUAAAGCAGGUGAACUUGUCUUUGUUUUGCCUUGUUUUGUUUUCUGUUACUGUGAUAAAAUAUCCCAACCAAAGCAACUUAAGGUACAAGGGAUUUUUAUGGCUGACAGUUCACAGGUUUAGUCAGUCACCAAGGCAGGGACGUUAGGGAAGCAAGAUUUUGAAAGCAGCUGGUCUCACUACAACCACAGUCAAGAAACAGAAAACUGGGAGAGUUCACUGAUGGUCAGCUCUUCUCUAUUUUAUACAAUCCAGAACCUCCUGCCCUGGGAAUGAUCCUCCCUACACAAAGAUGUGUCUUCUGUAAUCAAUUAAUGAAACCUUCCCCAUAGGCAUGGCCAGAGGCAUGUUCCCAGGUGAUUCUAGAGUUGUCAAGUUGACAGUUAACUACCCAUCACAGAGCUAAGCAGCAAAAGUAGGAAGGUCGAUUCUUUAUAAAUCUAUUUUAUAUCUACUUUUAUGUCCAAGAGUGGCCUGACUAUACCAGACAACAGUCAGAGCUCUCUGAUGCGUAAAACAUCAUAUUUUUCAUUAAAGUCUAUAAAAAUGAGCAUUUAGCUUUGACAUAUUUUUAGUAAGGAAGUGGUAUGCUUGUAUUCUGACAGUCCCCAUUUUUAACAUUGUAUAUGCUAGUUUUAUGCUAAUUCCAACAUGUGACCAACCUGUAAGAAUCGAUAAUUCAGGGUAUAAGGAUGCCCUAGAGUCACACAGCAAUGUUAUAUCUGUAACCAAGUAUGGCACACAGGAUGAAUGAUUCUAACACAUGGUUCACUUACAGAGCACCUAAUAACAAAUGAGCCUGCGGAGGGGGUCUAAGUGCCCCAACACAUUAAGAACUAUUCAGAGCUACUUGGUGUAUUGACUCUACCUCCAGAUAAACAAGAUCAAACAACCUCUGUCCUUUCUCAGCCUUUGUAACUAAUCAAAGCCUGAAGACCACAAAAGUACUUUCUAAUUGGUUUCAUUGUUUUGUUUAUUGUGCUUAUCACAGGGCAGUUAGCAUUUACUCUGACAAUGGACCAUCCUGACAUUUUGGUUGGUUUUAAAUAGCUGUUAAUGGUUGUCUAGGGUUCAUCAUGGCUAGUGAGCUCAUGCUCACUGACUAGGUGACCUUCAAUUAGAAAAGGACUGGAUUUUACCUUGCAGGCCUUAGAAGAUGCAAAUUUUGAUAUGCGGUAUGUGGUAGGUUUGUGUGUGAAGACAAAGACUCACACCUACCCUAUGAAUGCAGCAGUGCUAAUGGAGUAGGCUGCCUGAAUUCUCCACUUUUAUAGUCUUCCUCAUGUAGGAUUUCUCUCUGCAUCCUCUCUCACCUGCUUUGAUGCCUCACAAAAUUCACCCUCAGUUCCAUAGGCUGAAAUAACACAUGACUGCAUUGCUGGCCCACCAGUCACUGUGCUAUCCCUAGGCUCCUUGUCCUUCUUGUACGAUUUGUUACCUACUCAAGUCUUUUUCCACUCAGCUAGUUUCCUAAAAUGAUGCCUUCCUUAUUUGCUUUUCUAGCUUGAAGGUUUACAAAUAGUUCCACCUAGUUUGGGAUGUUUAAAGCAAGACUAAGGACAAGUUAUUGACUUCUUUUCUUUCGUAGAGUGUUUCUGGUGUUGUACUUAAGAACUCUUUGUCGACCCAGAGCUAAUAAUUCUUUACCCAAGGUUAAAGUUGGAGGAAGCAUCUGCUUAAAAAGGAUCAGCAAAAGGAGUUCGGGUCUUGGAUUUGAUAGGCUGUUGAGAAUUACCCUCGGUCUUGUUUAUGGUGAGAAUAACAAGAGUCUAUGAAUUAAAAACCCAGAACUAUACACAGCAAUACUCCCCCAGAACUUCCUAGCAAUCUAAAACAAUUGUUUGUUUCUAACCUUGAGAGUUAAAUUUUUCUACACAUCCAUACUUUUCUGUUCCCAACAGGAUAAGACAGCCCCUGAAUACUAUCCCUCUGUAAAAUCGUGCCUUUCUCUUUGACCUGUUGUUGUUGCUGCUGUUGUUGCUGCUGCUGUUGUUACUUUGCCUCUUCCUCCUCCUUUCCUACUUCUCUUCCCGCUCUCCCUCGUCUCUUCCUUUUCCUCCUCCUCCUCCUCCUGCUCUUUCCCCUCCCUGCCUCCUCUUCUCAGGUGUCCCAAAUAGGAGAGUUAUAUGUGCUCAUGACUUGUGAGUCACUAUGAGUGCUACAAUGAAGACACUGAGCAGCUUUGGAAGAGCUCCAUUUUGCUCUCACUCUCAAGCAAAGGAAGACCUCCAUUACCUCUUUCUGCGAAGGAGGGGAACUCAAAGAAGAGAAAGGAGAACAGAAAAAAAAGCAGGUUCCUCAUGUUUCCCUGUGCUUCUUAUCAGUGCAGUAGAUGAAGACAGCAAACUAAUGCAGCCUACAACUGCCAAACGAAGUGUCACUAGCUGCCAGAUUUUCCCCUAAGAUAGUUUCUAUGGAAAAUAAAAUUAAAGAGAAAUAAGAUAAUGCUCACUUAAGAUAUUGCCACAUUGUUAGGAGCUUGGAAAACCAAAAAGCAGGUAAAUUAAACCUCCUUUUACAGAAAGAUCGAUGUGUCUGCUACUUUGGUUAUCUUAAUAGCAUCUAAAGUAAUAAAUUCUGUCAUAUCAUUUACUUUAGCA
rnacentral:lncRNA from 1 species